UCGAAAUAUUAACUUAUGUAGUAAAAAAUUUAUCUUGUGCAUUCAUUUUAGGCAACGAUUUUCUUUUCAAACAAAAGCUCAGAUAAAUUUCGAAAACGAAACGCUAACAUUACAAAACUUAUUACCUAUAAAAACAUACAGUAGUCAUAAUAAGAAUCACUAUAUAAAUAAAAUAAAAGAAGAGAUUCUAAAUUUAUUUACAGUAAACCCGAUAUAUUCCAUAGCUCAUUGCAUUUCAGUGGAUCUCAAAAUGAAUAAAGGAAUAGCAGCGCACAUAAAAAAUAAAAUUGGAAACGCAUACCCCCAAUUAUCCAAACUAAAACCAAAAGUAGGUGAAGCCAUUCCCAUAAAGGUAGGAAAUCGAACAAUUUAUUAUUUAGUAACAAAACAAAAAUAUUUUCACAAACCAUCAUUUAAAGAUAUAAAAACUACUCUUCAAAAUUUACAUAAAAUUAUGAAUAAAUUACACGACCACAAACUAGCCAUUCCCA